rnacentral:sRNA from 1 species
UUCUAGCACUCAACCCGCAUGAGGGAUUGAAGAGGAAAGCCCACAGAGAAGCCCGAGCUUGCGUAGCCGGGACGAGGACUUGGAACGAAAAGCCCGAACCUUG